AGAGUUUGAAGGGAGUAAACUUUCAGAUUAGGAACCAAUGCCUUUACUUGGCCUCUGCUAAUGGAGACAGAGGCAAAAGACUCUUCCCUUUCGCUCCCUAGCAUUCAAGGUAUGUAGCAUAUUCUGACCCAGAGGUUUAAAUCCCAAGGACUUGUCUUGCACAGGGAUGAAGGAAGACUUGUCUUGUCUUUGGAAAAGGUGGAUCCAGACCCCCACAGUCAUGGAUAAUAGAGAUGUAAAUCAGUGUGGGAAAUCACACCACCUAAACACACAUAUGCACCCUACAAAGGUACACAUUUACUCAUUGGUCACAGUGUUGCCUGGAAGCAAGAGACACUAGUUCCUUCAGGACACAUAAUGUGGGAGUUAGUGCAUUUGCUGUUUUUCCUGGGCUGUUGUCUUAUAAUACAUAGUUCUAUUUUAAUUUUGAUAUAUUCAGACAUUCAGCUUUCAAAUCCAUCUUUAGGAAAGUUCUUAAGUAUUAUGAUAGUUCAUUUAUUUUGUGAACGAUGGGGCUUUAGGUAAAAUUAUGUUUAUGGGUAUGUUUCCCCCAAAUUGUUUUUUCCUUCAUUCAUACCAU
rnacentral:lncRNA from 1 species